rnacentral:rRNA from 1 species
UACGUAGGGUGCGAGCGUUGUCCGGAAUUAUUGGGCGUAAAAGGGCUCGUAGGCGGUCCAUCGCGUCGGGAGUGAAAAGCUGGGGCUUAACCCCAGUCCUGCUUUCGAUACGGGUGGACUAGAGUGUGGUAGGGGAGAUCGGAAUUCCUGGUGUAGCGGUGAAAUGCGCAGAUAUCAGGAGGAACACCGGUGGCGAAGGCGGCAUCCUGGACCGGUACUGACGCUGAGGUGCGAAAGCGUGGGGAGCAAACAGG